rnacentral:rRNA from 1 species
CCUACGGGUGGCUGCAGUGGGGAAUAUUGCACAAUGGGCGGAACCCUGAUGUAGCGACGCCGCGCGAGUGAAGAAGGAUUUCGGUACGUAAAGCUCUAUCAGCAGGGAAGAAAAUGACGGUACCUGACUCAGAAGCACCGGAUAACUACGUGCCAGCAGCCGCGGUAAUACGUCGGGGGCAAGCGUUAUCCGGAUUUACUGGGUGUAAAGGGAGCGUAGACGGCAGAGCAAGUCUGGAGGGAAAUCCCAUGGCUUAACCAUGGAACUGCGUUUGAAACUGUGCAGCUAGAGUGCAGGAGAGGUAAGCGGAAUUCCUAGUGUAGCGGUGAAAUGCGUAGAUAUUAGGAGGAACACCAGUGGCGAAGGCGGCUUACUGGAC